AACCAUUAGCAGUUGAAGCUGCCAGCAUGAUCUAAACUUCCCUUUUGUUUCAUCUAUCAAGGAAAGAUCAGAUCAUGUGGCAGCCUCACCUGUUGAUGGU
rnacentral:pre_miRNA from 1 species